ACAAUUUUUACUUACUAUAAGCUAUUUGUAUAUAAUUAAGCAGUAUACAUUUCUUAAAUAUAAUCUAUUACUAAAUGUGUUUUUCAUGUGAACUUCUUUGUUUGAAAGACUGAGGAGAAUUAUUUUGGAGCUUCAAAUGAAUCUUUGUUUAGUAAAGAGUUUUCUCCAGUUAACUGUUACUUUCUUCAGAGGUUGAGUAAAUCAUGUUUAUGUUUGUUCAGCUGAAUGUAAUUCCGUUUCCUGUCAGAACAUUAAACGGAAACAGUUUACAACAGAUUUCAUCUCAAUGCACUUCAGAAAACAAACUAAACUGAUAUGCAACAUAUAGAAAUACACUUUGUAAUUCAGCUAACUCCAGGGAAUCGAAUAACAUUUCCUUUAGAUCCAGCUUCAUACUGCACAGUUCAAGUUAUAGUACAAAGCACCCAAGUUCAGUUGAUGAAAAUUCAUCAGUUAUCUAAACCAAUUUAAUCCUUAGUUGUGACCUCACAGCAAUCCCUCAUGCUGAGCAAGCAUGUGGUGACAGUGGACAGCAACCACUUUCUAUUGAUUAGAAGAAUCCUGUAGUGAGGUUAAAAUAACAAGUUGCAGAAAACUAAAAAAAAAAAAAUCAACACACUGAGACAGAAGAA